UAGAGUUUGAUCAUGGCUCAGGAUUAACGCUGGCGGUAUGCCUAAUACAUGCAAGUCGAACGAGAUUUAUGAUUAAGUUUCAAGUCCCAAGUUCCAAGUUUUGAGUUUAUCUUAAACACUUGUUACAUGGCACCUGAUACUUUAUUACAUUUCUAGUGGCGGACGGGUGAGUAACACGUUGGAACCUGCCCCAAAGUGAGGAAUAAGCCACCGAAAGGUGGUCUAAUACUUCAUAAUAUCCAUCUCGUAUGGAUUAAAGCUUUAUGCGCUUUGGGAGGGGCCUGCGUAACAUUAGCUUGUUGGUGAGGUAAAAGCUCACCAAGGCUUCGAUGUUUAACUGGUUUGAGAGGAUGACCAGUCACACUGGGACUGAGAUACGGCCCAGACUCCUACGGGAGGCAGCAGUAAGGAAUCUUCCACAAUGGGGGCAACCCUGAUGGAGCAAUACCGCGUGCAGGAUGAAGCGUUUCGGCGUGUAAACUGCUUUUAUCACCGAAGAUUAUGACUGUAGGUGAAGAAUAAGGACCGGCUAACUACGUGCCAGCAGCCGCGGUAUA
rnacentral:rRNA from 1 species